rnacentral:rRNA from 1 species
CCUGGCGACUCCAGCGCGCGGGAACCACCCGAUCCCUUCCCGAACUCGUCCGUGAAACCGCGCCGCGCCUAUGAUCGUGUGAGAUCACUCAUGCUAAAGUCGGGCAUCGCCAGGC